GUCACCAAAGUCUUUAUGUCAACAGAUCACACAUAAAAAAAAAAACACUUUUUGCAUAAAUGUCAAUACUGAACAUGGAACAUGCAUAAAUGAAACAGGCAUCUGUAGCUACAAUUCUUUUAAUGGCCACUAGAUGGUGAACCAAUAAUAGACAUGGCCAAACAAAAGUUUAAAACAACAACAACAACAAUAACAUACAUUUAGAGUUUUUUGGUUUUGAACAGUUAAAAUAUGUUACUGUGACUUGACAUCCUAAUUUUGACUUAAGAUCUUUUUGGAUUUGUAGCUGCGUGCUGAAAGAAUAAUUACUUCUCUGAAUUAAAAUUAUUAAACUGUUGAAGACAUGAUCAGAACAAAAGGUUAGAAAAAUACAUAUUUAAAAAAAAAACUAUUUGCGUGGCAUGGUGUCUUAGCGGGUAGCACUGUUGCCUCACAGCAAGAAGGUCCUGGGUUUGCGUUCAACCUGGUCCUUUGUGUUGAGUUUGAAUGUUCUCCCUGUGUUCCUGUGGGUUCCCUUUGGGUGCUCCAACUUCCUUCCAAAGACAUGCAAGUUAGGUGAAUUGGUAUCUUAAAAAAAAAAAAAUGACCAUAGCUGUGCAGGCAAGGAUGUAUUCUGCUUCUUGCCCUACGUCUGCUGGGAUAUAUCAGUGGGCUCCAGCCCACUGUGACUCUAGACAGGAGUAAGCGGGUACAGAAAAUGAAUAUAGUCUAAAUUUUCACCAGAAACCAGAUCUCUCUAUUUUGUCUUCACGACAUGUUUAGGUGUUGGUCUGUUAAACGGUUUAGUUAAAAACGAUUUCAUGAUCUGAAUAUAUGUGCCUGAUUGAUGGUUCACAUUUUGCAGGAAUGUUGUGAGCUGCGCGCCGCCACAGCACGCCCUCCACAUUCAAAGAAAAAAAAAAGUUCAGAUAUAGACCUCAGAAAUAAAAUCUCCUACAGUGCCACCUAUAGUAAUGGUGUUGAAGUAUAAU